CCAAUAGCGUAUAUUAAAGUUGUUGCAGUUAAAAAGCUCGUAGUUGAAUUUCGGGAUCAAUAUGUUGGUCGUGCCAUUGGUACGUACUGGCAUUAUUGGUUUCUACCUUCUGAAGAACCUCGAUGUCAUUAAUUUGGUGUCUUGGGGAAUCAGGACUGUUACUUUGAAAAAAUUAGAGUGUUUAAAGCAGGCUCGCGCUUGAAUACAUUAGCAUGGAAUAAUGAAAUAGGACGUUUGAUUCUAUUUUGUUGGUUUCUAGGAUCGACGUAAUGAUUAAUAGGGAUAGUUGGGGGCAUUAGUAUUCAAUUGUCAGAGGUGAAAUUCUUGGAUUUAUUGAAGACUAACUACUGCGAAAGCAUUUGCCAAGGAUGUUUUCAUUAAUCAAGAACGAAAGUUAGGGGAUCGGAGACGAUCAGAUACCGUCGUAGUCUUAACCAUAAACUAUGCCGACUAGGGAUCGGAUGAUGUUAAUUUUUUAAUGACUCAUUCGGCGCCAUACG
rnacentral:rRNA from 1 species